UGCAAUCUUAGCCUCUGAGGAAC
rnacentral:piRNA from 1 species